rnacentral:hammerhead_ribozyme from 15 species
AAGCAGUCGGGGCAGCGGUAACCUCCUGAUGAGACCUUUCGCAGGCUCGAAACUGCUG